CGGCAGUACUCUCCUCUUGAAUUUUUGUGUGUGGAGCUUUUCUCUAAAAAGAGUCCUACAAAGAGACAAUCAGGCCGCAAGAAUCUUUUGACUCUGGAUGCUGCCAAGCACAGCUGCCUAAGCAAAAUAGCAAAUUUCCAUAUAGCAAUCCCAACUUGCAAGCCUAGAGCCUACGAUCAGUCUUGACUACCUUCAGGAUCAGAAGAAUGAAGUCAACCACGAAAUUAUCCUGCUUCUUGCAGCUCCUUGUCCUCUUUUUCCUCCGCCAAUCUUCGGUCUCAUCGCCAUUCACCACCGCUAAUUCAAGCUCUACAUUUCCCAGUGAAGCUCUCCCAACCAAAUCCGGCUACCUACCCAUCAACUCCAACACCAAUUCGGCCAUUUUCUACACCUUCUAUGAAGCACAAGACCCAUUCUUACCUCUCUCCCAAACCCCACUUCUCAUCUGGCUCCAGGGUGGCCCUGGUUGCUCCUCCAUGAUAGGCAACUUCCUUGAGCUAGGUCCGUAUCGUGUAGUUGAUACUCAGAGUGAAAACAUCCAACACCUUUCUCUUGAACGCAAUAUAGGCUCUUGGAACCGCAUUUUUGGCCUUAUUUUCCUUGAUAAUCCAAUUGGAGUUGGGUUUAGUAUCGCUGCUACACCCGAAGAGAUACCCAGAGAUCAACACACUGUUGCUAAGCAUCUCUUUGCUGCGAUCACUGGGUUUAUUGGUUUGGACCCAGAUUUCAAGAAUCGUCCACUUUAUAUCACUGGUGAGAGUUAUGCAGGUAAGUAUGUUCCUGCAAUUGGGUAUUACAUUUUGAAGCAGAAUAUGAGGUUGCCAGAGGCACAGCGAGUGAACUUGAAAGGUGUGGCUAUAGGUAAUGGGUUAACGGAUCCAGUGACGCAGGUGAAAACUCAUGCUGUCAAUGCAUAUUUUUCUGGUUUGAUCAAUGAGAGGCAAAAGGGUGAAUUGGAGGAAGCUCAACGAAAGGCAGUUGAGUUUGUUAAAAUGGGAAAUUGGAGUGAGGCAACAAAUGCAAGGCUUAAGACCUUGGAUUUGCUGCAAAACAUGACAGGGUUGGCCACCUUGUAUGAUUUCACCAGGAAAGUGCCUUAUAAGACAAGUUUAGUCACCAAAUUCUUGCAAUCAGUGGAGGUGAAGAAGAAAUUAGGUGCAAAAGAAUCUAUAGUUUUCGAUGAAUGCAGUGAUGUGGUGGGGAAUGCACUGCUAGAGGAUGUGAUGAAGAGUGUGAAGUAUAUGGUGGAAUUGUUGGUGAAGAAGAGCAAGGUAUUGUUGUAUCAAGGGCAUUUUGACUUGAGAGAUGGUGUGGUUUCCACUGAGGCUUGGGUGAAGACAAUGAAAUGGGAGGGAAUAGAGAGGUUUCUGAUGGCGGACAGAAAAGUGUGGAAGGUGAAUGGAGAGCUUGCUGGGUAUGUACAGAAAUGGGGAAGCUUGAGCCAUGCUGUGGUACUAGGAGCAGGUCAUCUUGUGCCUACUGAUCAGGCAUUAAAUUCUCAGGCCAUGAUAGAGGAUUGGGUUAUGGAUAAAGGUGUCUUUGCUUGCGGGAAAAAGGGGGUUCCGCAUCAGACUCCAUGGAGUCAUCCUGAAAUUUAUAGCCCUUGAUGUUGGUGGAUAGAUCUGAAAUUUUUAACUCAUGUUGAUGUGGUAUUUUUAAGUGAUAAAAGAUCUAAUGUCCUACUAGUAUAUUUCAUAAAUAAGACAACGCUGUGCUUGUUAUUUCAGCCAACUGUCCUUUGAUUCAUGUGAUCUGCGAGACAUUUUGCAAAAUAAUUUUUAGCAUUUACCAGCAAGGGUACCUGCCAAACUGGAGCUUGCAAAGCAAUUUCUUUUUCUGCAAACCAUUUGUUUUGCUCAAUCUCC
rnacentral:misc_RNA from 1 species